GAUGAACGCUGGCGGCGUGCUCAACACAUGCAAGUCGAACGAUGAAGCCCAGCUUGCUGGGUGGAUUAGUGGCGAACGGGUGAGUAACACGUGAGUAACCUGCCCUUGACUCUGGGAUAAGCCUGGGAAACUGGGUCUAAUACUGGAUAUGACUUCUCAUCGCAUGGUGGGGGGUGGAAAGAUUUAUUGGUCUUGGAUGGACUCGCGGCCUAUCAGCUUGUUGGUGAGGUAAUGGCUCACCAAGGCGACGACGGGUAGCCGGCCUGAGAGGGUGACCGGCCACACUGGGACUGAGAGACGGCCCAGACUCCUACGGGAGGCAGCAGUGGGGAAUAUUGCACAAUGGGCGCAAGCCUGAUGCAGCGACGCCGCGUGAGGGAUGACGGCCUUCGGGUUGUAAACCUCUGUCAGUAGGGAAGAAGCGAGAGUGACGGUACCUGCAGAAGAAGCGCCGGCUAACUACGUG
rnacentral:rRNA from 1 species